AUAUCAAUAAGCGGAGGAAAGGAAACCAACAGGGAUUGCCUCAGUAACGGCGAGUGAAGCGGCAACAGCUCAAAUUUGAAAUCUGGCCCUCUCAGGGUCCGAGUUGUAAUUUGGAGAAGAUGCUUCGGGUGUGGCCCCGGUCUAAGUUCCUUGGAACAGGACGUCACAGAGGGUGAGAAUCCCGUACGUGACCGGUGGCCGCCCCCGUGUGAAGCUCUUUCGACGAGUCGAGUUGUUUGGGAAUGCAGCUCAAAAUGGGUGGUAAAUUUCAUCUAAAGCUAAAUAUUGGCCAGAGACCGAUAGCGCACAAGUA
rnacentral:rRNA from 1 species